rnacentral:rRNA from 1 species
UCUGGGCGUAAGCGUGCGCAGGCGGUUGUGCAAGACCGAUGUGAAAUCCCCGAGCUUAACUUGGGAAUUGCCUUGGAGACUGCACGGCUAGAGUGUGGCAGAGGGGGGUGGAAUUCCACGUGUAGCGGUGAAAUGCGUAGAUAUGCGGAGGAAUACCGAUGGCGAAGGCAGCCCCCUGGGAUAAUACUGACGCUCAUGCGCGAAAGCGUGGGGAGCAAACAGGAUUAGAUACCCUGGUAGUCCACGCCCUAAACGAUGUCAACUAGUUGUUGGGGAUUCAUUUCCUUAGUAACGUACCUAACGCGUGAAGUUGACCGCCUGGGGAGUACCGUCGCAAGAUUA